rnacentral:rRNA from 1 species
UACGUAGGGUGCGAGCGUUAAUCGGAAUUACUGGGCGUAAAGGGUGCGCAGGCGGUUUGUUAAGUCAGAUGUGAAAUCCCCGGGCUCAACCUGGGCAUGGCAUUUGAGACUGGCAGGCUGGAGUGUGUCAGAGGGGGGUGGAAUUCCACGUGUAGCAGUGAAAUGCGUAGAGAUGUGGAGGAAUACCGAUGGCGAAGGCAGCCCCCUGGGAUAACACUGACGCUCAUGCACGAAAGCGUGGGGAGCAAACAGG